AGAAAGUAGUAUAGUGGGAGUACAGGGGGUUUUGAGCCCUCUAGUGCAGGUUCGUGUCCUGUUUUUCUA
rnacentral:tRNA from 1 species